CUUAGUUUGGAGGAACGUGGUACAAUUUUUGGCUUUGGAGCGGACCUGGACCUCUUGUACGGAAAGCUGAACAUGAACAGUACCUGCUGGAAAACACUUCUGGGCAUAUCACCUCCCGCAGCCAAACACUGUAUUACCAAAGGACACAUCAGCAGUUGGAAGGUUUAAGGUCUCCUUCCAGUCCUCACUGUGGAUGACAUCAGACAUCAUCGUCAUGUGCCAAAUUUACACCUGCAGGACACAGUAUGCUUCACUUUUGUGUCACUCUUAUUGACUCAGUGAUUCAGGAAUCAGGUGCUGGUUGGCAGAUGAGGAGAUGAACAGGAGUGACCGCAUAAAUCCUGAAUACGAGGUGGCAGUUGAACGAGGUCGUCAUCUCUGGCAUCGAGGUCAACCCCUCAAACGGGAAUGUGCAACCAUAUCACACCCUGCAAGGAAAGAGCAACCUGAGACGUUCUCCAUAUAGACCACCGUAAUCAAGGAUGUAUUUAUCUUUGCUGCCUAAGGAUGAGG